AUCGUAACAAAGAAGAUGGUAGUCUCUAGCACCGAUGAAUUUCAGGCCACAGUUCAGAAAAGUUAUGACAAAAUGAGUGAGUUAAAAGCCUUUGAUGAUACAAAGGCUGGUGUCAAAGGACUCGUUGAUGCUGGAAUCACUAAAGUACCUCAAAUAUUCAUUCUACCACCAAAUAACAGGACGGAGUCCUUGGAUACAAGUGAAAAACAGUUCAUUUUCCCAGUCAUAGACUUUGAAGGUAUUGACGAGGACCCAAUAAAGCGUAAAGAGAUUGUGGGAAAAGUUCGAGAUGCAUCGGAGACAUGGGGUUUCUUCCAAGUGGUAAAUCAUGGCAUUCCAACAUCUGUUCUGGAAGGAAUGCUGCAAGGAACACGUGAGUUUUUUGAGCAAGAUAUAGAGGUUAAGAAACAAUAUUACACUCGAGAUAUCAUGAAGAAGGUGGUUCAUAAUAGCAAUUUUGAUUUGUAUAGCCCUUCGGUUCCAGCUGCAAAUUGGAGAGACUCCUUUUGCUUUUCAAUGGCUCCUAAUCCUCCCAGUCCAGAAGAAUUUCCAAGACCAUGCAGGUAUGUUUACCUAGUAAUUGAAUAUGUAGUUUUAACUAGAAGUUCGGUACUUAAGAGCCAAUCAAGCAUAGCAUUUCUCUUUUUAAGUAUCGAGAUGUGCUAUUUCAUUAAUUUUAUAAAAUUGCUGCAGGGAAAUACUAAUGGAUUACUCCAAGAAUGUGAUGGAAUUGGGCUGUUCCUUGCUUGGAUUAUUGUCAGAAGGUCUCGGUCUUGAUCCUUGUCAUCUCGAAGAUAUGGAUUGCGUGAAGGGGCUCGGUGUUGUGGGCCAUUACUAUCCACCAUGCCCUCAACCAGAACUCACCAUAGGCACCAAUACACAUUCUGAUAAUGAUUUUAUCACAGUGCUUCUACAAGAUCAUAUCGGAGGACUCCAAGUCCUUCACCAGAAUCAGUGGGUUGAUAUUCCUCCUACAUCUGCUGCUCUUGUGGUGAAUAUUGGAGAUCUUUUGCAGGCUAGUAUUCUUUUUCUUUUCGAGUCUUGUAUCGACUCAAUAAGAAUGAAAGUAACUCCUUAUUUGGUACUGAUACUAGUUGUGCUUAUAUUUUUUUCCACAGCUCAUUUCAAAUGACAAGUACACAAGUGUUGAACACAGAGUAUUGUCAAAUAAAGUUGGACCAAGAAUAUCAGUUGCAAGCUUCUUCACUACUGGUCCAUUUCCAUCUCCGAAGCUCUAUGGACCAAUUGCUGAAUUGUUAUCAGAAGAUAAUCCUCCGAAAUAUCGUGCAACCACAGUGACGGACUAUAGUGAUUACUUCCGUAAGAAGGGUUUAGAUGGAACUUCUGCACUGUUGCACUUCAAGAUCUAAUCCUAGUAAUGAAACAAUUAAAUGUAUGAUGAAUAUUACCGAGAAUUUAACUUUUUAUUAUAUCUUAAGCUGAAGUUUCAUAGAUGUUGAAACAUGAACUAUUAUGAUCUUUGCAAGAUCGUACUCGUGACUGAUAAGACUCAUAAUAUAGUGUGGUGCAGAAGGUUUAUGACGGAUAGAUGUAUUUCAUACUUACAAAAUGUUGUUUUCUCCCUUCCUCUUGUCUAAAAAUUACCCUUCUUAUGAAUUCAGACUCAUGUCAAAGGGUCUGCAUCUCAGUCCUAGUCAUCUCUGUUGAACUGUUUGUAAUCAUCUCGUCUAAAUUGUGGAUAAAUGUUCUAGCUGACCCUUGUAACCACUGUACCAUUUGACAUAUGCUGAUGAUACCGUUAUUUUUACUUCAAAUGUAUGGUAUGAAAAUUCGACAAGGCGGGGAGCAUUACAUCAUAUAGUAUAUCCAUUGGAUAGACCAUGUAAGGACGACUACACGCACAUGGAAAUUCAAAAGUUAACAGUGCCUGGAACAUGUUGAGACACAAAGAGCAGACAGACACAGACACAGUGAGUUCAAACACAACGAGCAGACUCAUCUGAUAUCCGUAUAUUUUUUUUCAGUGGUGGUGGUGGUGGGGGCAGUGGAUUCAGACAGUGACCAAAAGAAAGGGACUAAAAAUAAUUAACCCAUUUUCUUUUGUUUUCUUCUGCUUCAAAUAUCAAGUUUGUUGGUAUGAACUGUUAGAUGGUGACAAUUGUGGUCCAAAAGUCUAAAUUAGUGGCCCUUGUUCAUAAAGCAAACUAGAUUCAUCCCAAGUAUAUGAAUUUAAUAAUAGAUCAUUGACAAUAACUCUAACCAUUGUCCAAAAGUCUAAAUUAAUGGCUCAUUGAGCACUAAAUUGGAAACCUGAGUAAAAAAGGACAGCCUCGGUGCACUAAGAUCCCGCUAUGCACGAUAAAAAGGUCAUUAUAUGGGCAUUUUCGUCUUUCAACUUUUUUACUUUGGACCUUCCGACUUUUGAUGUAAAAAUAUAUGAUGAUAUGAUGGCCAUUAGGUACUAACUGAUCUCAGAAACUCUUGGUUCUUAACAUCCUAGCAAAGAAGAUGGUACUCUCCAGCACUAAUGAUUUUCAGGUCACAGUUGAGAAAAAUUAUGACAAAAUGAGUGAAUUAAAAGCGUUUGAUGAUACUAAGGCUGGUGUCAAAGGAAUUGUUGAUUCUGGAAUCACUAAAGUACCUCAAAUAUUCAUUCUACCACCAAAAAAAAGGCCGGAGUUAUCGGAUACAAAUGAAACACAGUUCAUUUUCCCUGUGAUAGACAUUGAAGGCAUCGAUGAGGACCCAAUCAAGCAUAAGGAGAUUGUGGACAAUGU
rnacentral:lncRNA from 1 species